GCCCGGAUAGCUCAGUCGGUAGAGCAGAGGAUUGAAAAUCCGCGUGUCGGUGGUUCGAUUCCGCCUCGAGGCACCA
rnacentral:tRNA from 1 species